rnacentral:rRNA from 1 species
GAUGAACGCUGGCGGCGUGCCUAAUACAUGCAAGUCGAGCGAACAGACGAGGAGCUUGCUCCUCUGACGUUAGCGGCGGACGGGUGAGUAACACGUGGAUAACCUACCUAUAAGACUGGGAUAACUUCGGGAAACCGGAGCUAAUACCGGAUAAUAUAUUGAACCGCAUGGUUCAAUAGUGAAAGACGGUUUUGCUGUCACUUAUAGAUGGAUCCGCGCCGCAUUAGCUAGUUGGUAAGGUAACGGCUUACCAAGGCAGUGAUGCGUAGCCGACCUGAGAGGGUGAUCGGCCACACUGGAACUGAGACACGGUCCAGACUCCUACGGGAGGCAGCAGUAGGGAAUCUUCCGCAAUGGGCGAAAGCCUGACGGAGCAACGCCGCGUGAGUGAUGAAGGUCCUCGGAUCGUAAAACUCUGUUAUUAGGGAAGAACAAAUGUGUAAGUAACUAUGCACGUCUUGACGGUACCUAAUCAGAAAGCCACGGCUAACUACGUG